rnacentral:rRNA from 1 species
GAUGAACGCUGGCGGCGUGCCUAAUACAUGCAAGUCGAGCGAACAGACGAGGAGCUUGCUCCUCUGACGUUAGCGGCGGACGGGUGAGUAACACGUGGAUAACCUACCUAUAAGACUGGGAUAACUUCGGGAAACCGGAGCUAAUACCGGAUAAUAUAUUGAACCGCAUGGUUCAAUAGUGAAAGACGGUUUUGCUGUCACUUAUAGAUGGAUCCGCGCCGCAUUAGCUAGUUGGUAAGGUAACGGCUUACCAAGGCAACGAUGCGUAGCCGACCUGAGAGGGGGUGAGCCGCCACAGGAGAAGAGACACGCUGCAGACACUCACAGGGGGGACAAGAGGGGAAAAUUCCCCGAAGGGGGAGAAAUUGUCGGGGCGCAGCGCCGCGUGAGUUAAAAGGCUUUGCGGAUCGAAACUCUCUUUUAUUGGAAAAAAAAAAAUGUAAAAAUAACUAUGCGCGUUUAGAGGACACAUAAAGAAAACCCCGCGGAAAACCAC